rnacentral:rRNA from 1 species
GACGAACGCUGGCGGCGUGCUUAACACAUGCAAGUCGAACGGUACCUAAUGAGUAGUAAUACGAGUCAGGUAUAGUGGCGGACGGGUGAGUAACGCGUGAGCAAUCUGCCUUUAAGAGGGGGAUAACACCGGGAAACCGGUGCUAAUACCGCAUAAGACCACAAGUGUCACAUGGCACAGGGGUAAAAGGAGCAAUCCGCUUAGAGAUGAGCUCGCGUCCCAUUAGCUAGUUGGUGAGGUAACGGCUCACCAAGGCGACGACGGGUAGCCGGCCUGAGAGGGUGACCGGCCACACUGGGACUGAGACACGGCCCAGACUCCUACGGGGGGCAGCAGUGGGGAAUCUUGCACAAUGGGCGAAAGCCUGAUGCAGCGACGCCGCGUGAGCGAAGAAGGCCUUCGGGUUGUAAAGCUCUGUCUGGAGGGACGAAGGAAGUGACGGUACCUCCGGAGGAAGCCACGGCUAACUACGUG